AAACGACUCUCGGCAACGGAUAUCCCGGCUCUCGCAUCGAUGAAGAACGUAGCGAAAUGCGAUACUUGGUGUGAAUUGCAGAAUCCCGUGAACCAUCGAGUUUUUGAACGCAAGUUGCACCCGAUGCCAUUAGGCUGAGGGCACGUCUGCCUGGGUGUCACGU
rnacentral:rRNA from 1 species